rnacentral:SRP_RNA from 1 species
GCCAUGUUGGUGUGCUGCAUGCCUGUAGUCCCAGCUACUAGGGAGGCUGAGGCUGGAGGAUCGCUUGAGUCCAGGAGUUCUGGGCUGUAGUGCGCUAUGCCGAUCGGGUGUCCGCACUAAGUUCGACAUCAAUAUGGUGACCUCCCGGGAGCGGGGGACCACCAGGUUGCCUAAGGAGGGGUGAACCGGCCCAGGUCGGAAACGGAGCAGGUCAAAACUCCCGUGAUCUCUACAGAAUAUUUUAUAAAAUUGCCACUUAAUUUGAAUGUCACUGCUAUCAU